rnacentral:misc_RNA from 1 species
GAAAUGCGAUAAGUAAUGUGAAUUGCAGAAUUCAGUGAAUCAUCGAAUCUUUGAACGCACAUUGCGCCCGCCAGUAUUCUGGCGGGCAUGCCUGUUCGAGCGUCAUUACAACCCUCAGGCCCCCGGGCCUGGCGUUGGGGAUCGGCGGAAGCCCCUGCGGGCACAACGCCGUCCCCCAAAUACAGUGGCGGUCCCGCCGCAGCUUCCAUUGCGUAGUAGCUAACACCUCGCAACUGGAGAGCGGCGCGGCCACGCCGUAAAACACCCAACUUCUGAAUGUUGACCUCGAAUCAGGUAGGAAUACCCGCUGAACUUAAGC